GAUGAACGCUGGCGGCGUGCCUAAUACAUGCAAGUCGAACGAACAGACGAGGAGCUUGCUCCUCUGACGUUAGCGGCGGACGGGAGAGUAACACGUGGAUAACCUACCUAUAAGACUGGGAUCACUUCGGGAAACCGGAGCUAAUACCGUAUAAUAUAUUGAACCGCAUGGUUCAAUAGUGAAAGACGGUUUUGCUGUCACUUAUAGAUGGAUCCGCGCCGCAUUAGCUAGUUGGUAAGGUAACGGCUUACCAAGGCAACGAUGCGUAGCCGACCUGAGAGGGUGAUCGGCCACACUGGAACUGAGACACGGUCCAGACUCCUACGGGAGGCAGCAGUAGGGAAUCUUCCGCAAUGGGCGAAAGCUUGACGGAGCAACGCCGCGUGAGUGAUGAAGGUCUUCGGAUCGUAAAACUCUGUUAUUAGGGAAGAACAAAUGUGUAAGUAAAUAUGCACGUCUUGACGGUACCUAAUCAGAAAGCCACGGCUAACUACGUG
rnacentral:rRNA from 1 species